rnacentral:rRNA from 1 species
CCUACGGGUGGCAGCAGUGAGGAAUAUUGGUCAAUGGGCUUACGCCUGAACCAGCCAAGUCGCGUGAGGGAAGACUGCCCUAUGGGUUGUAAACCUCUUUUGUCAGGGAGCAAUUGGCGCUACGUGUAGUGUUAUCGAGAGUACCUGAAGAAAAAGCAUCGGCUAACUCCGUGCCAGCAGCCGCGGUAAUACGGAGGAUGCGAGCGUUAUCCGGAUUUAUUGGGUUUAAAGGGUGCGUAGGCGGAAUGCCAAGUCAGCGGUAAAAUCGCGGGGCUCAACCUCGCUCCGCCGUUGAAACUGGCGUUCUUGAGUGGGCGAGAAGUAUGCGGAAUGCGUGGUGUAGCGGUGAAAUGCAUAGAUAUCAUACAGAACACCGAUUGCGAAGGCAGCUUACCAAGCUACUUCUGACGUUGAGGCACGAAAGCGUGGGGAGCAAACAGGAUUAGAUACCCGAGUAGUC